rnacentral:lncRNA from 1 species
AAAGAGACUUAAUUUACCCAUAAAGAAGUGGAAUACUGGCAGGCAUAUGGUAGGGGUAGGGAAAAGGAGAACAUUUUUGAUGGAUGGCACACUAUAUACAAAGAUUAGAGGUGAGAAAGAUUAUGGACUGUUGAUGGUAUGUUUUCUUGCAGCCAGAGAACAAGCUAGGAACAGAGUAAGGAGCCGCUCUAUGAUGAGCUCUGGAUGCCAAGAUGAAAUGAAUUCUCAAAAGAGGGAGGAACUCCAGGGAAAGACAGAGGGAAUGCAACAUUUCGGAGGAGGACAUGCUAAGCUAACUAAGAAUCAGCAAGUAAUACCAACACUCAGUUAUCUGCUGAGGGGGUCUUCAUCACCCAGAUACACAGGAGAGAUACUGGUGAUUUCUGGGAACUCUGGUUGUGUGACUGCAGACUUGACACCACAGGAAGUAAAGAGAACCCGUCCUCUCGUCCUCUGAAUUUGGAUCUGAAUACACAAAUUCUGUAUGAGACCGUGUAAUGAAGCAUCAGGGUCUGAAAGUUGAGGUCCUACUGUGAAGACCAGAAGAGAAGUUUCUCAAUUCUCCAUCCACAAGCCAUGCUUAUGGGGAAUAUCCUCGAGAUCUCACCCAUCUCCUUAUGCCAACAUACCUAGCAUUCUCAGUCCCCCUGAUAACCACAGGAAUUAUGGCCCCUACCAAGUGGUAGGGUUUAUGUAGAACUCGUAUAUACUGUAUUUCUUUCCAUUGCCAUAAGAACCUAUGAGGUAGAUAUCAUUUUUGACAUUUACAGGUGAGGUAAGUGAGGCACAGGGAGAGGAAAUAAUUUACCUCGAAUCUCACCAACAAGGAUAGUUGCAGAGCAAGGAUUUGAACUCGGUUUGUUGAACUUAAAAGCUCUAGUCUUACUGUCAAUAUUAACUUGUAGCCUUCUGCUAUUUCCCCCUGGACCAGAAACGAUGAAAUAAAAUUGAAACAGAGAAAUAAACA